GGCACUAUACUUUAUUAUAGAAGAUCUAGUUUGCAUCUAGACAGAGGGCUUGCCCUAGUACCC
rnacentral:tRNA from 1 species